CGCGUGAGCGAAGAAGGCCUUCGGGUCGUAAAACUCUGUUGUUAGGGAAGAACAAGUGCUAGUUGAAUAAGCUGGCACCUUGACGGUACCUAACCAGAAAGCCACGGCUAACUACGUGCCAGCAGCCGCGGUAAUACGUAGGUGGCAAGCGUUAUCCGGAAUUAUUGGGCGUAAAGCGCGCGCAGGUGGUUUCUUAAGUCUGAUGUGAAAGCCCACGGCU
rnacentral:rRNA from 1 species